AUGGCCCCAAGAAAUGCGCGUAAUAAUUUCUACAUUUUGGGCUCCGGUAGCGGGAAUGGCAACGCUGGGACCAAAGGCAUGUCGGAAUGGAUAGGCUUGUCCUUGUGCCGAAAAUGUGUUGACUUGAACGGAGUGUGGACCAGGUGUCUGAUAUCUGUUGGAAUUACACUGCUUCUGGUGCCGUCCAUAUUUGCCAUAGACGAUGAAGCAAGACUCGAGGCGUCAGGACAACCCCUCAGUCCUUCCCAGGUCCCCACCGGAGGGCCAAACAUCACAGUCUCUUCAUCGCUGCUGGGGGACGAAGACUUCGCCUCGCAGUUCCACUCCCCACCAGCGAGGGCAGAAAGCACAAGGGAGCAGCCUGUGUUCGCCUCAGUGCAGACCCUGCAGGUUGCAGAGACACAGCCUCAGGCGCUGGUGCAUUCUCUGCCCUCCCCACCCGGCAACAGUGACAAUCGCACCAAUCAAAAGUCCCCUGGGGAGCUGGCCGUCAGAGUGCCAAAUCCACCGUCCCCGGCACAUAAAAUCAACAGUGUCUUGACCACUAGCUCAGACGAGACUCUUAGUGAAUUCCCCAGGAACCCUGAUCUUCCCACCGCCCCGGGAUCCUCUUUUAUGAUUGUGGCAGAGACAGAUGCUGCACUCUCUGACAAUGUGACAACUUCGGUCUCAAUUUCCGCUUUUAACGGCACCUCUCCUGAAAGAGCUGAAAACGCUUCAUCCGGCGCUUCAGCAAGCAGCAACUCCCACACUGUGACCAGCGACAGUCUGCAGCUCACCACAGUGACCACCACGACUGUCACGCCCUUGACUGUGACAUCGACGACUGUGACUCUGCCCACUGCCGUCGUUGUGGCGAAAGAGGUCGUGACCACAGUGCCGACCACGACAGCCACCCAGACCACAACAACCGAGACGGAACCACCGACGACAGCCACCACUACCACUACGACAACAACUACCACCACCACCACAAAAGUAGCACCAACAACCACCAAAACACCCACAACCACUUUAGCAACCACGACAACGACAACCCCUCGUCAAACCACCGCUGUAUCUACCUCUGGAAGUACCACGACUAAACCGAGCAGCCCUCCAACUGACAGUUCACCUUUGACCUGUAAUGUGACCGAGAGAUUAUGGGUGAAAACAGUGUUGUCCAUCCAGAUGCGACGAAAUCGCCUAGAAGCUGGAAUGAGACAGGACCUGUCUAAAGGUAUCACGCAGGCACUGCAGAGAGCCUUCAACGACAGCAACAUCCGUGUUCAGAUCAGAGGUUCUGUAUGAUUACAGACCCUGGAGGUGAUCUGCAGGAGACGACACAAUCACUAUCUACACAUGAACAGGGGGAAAGAGAGAGAGAGAGAGUGUUUGUGUUGGAGUUAAAAGAGAGAGAUGGUCAGUCAGCUUGGCUCAAUAUGAUGAAAUUUAUUCAUGUGGGAUUUGUAUUAGCAUUUGCCUCAAGCGCUUAACAAUAAACAAAGCCAGUAAGAGCA
ensembl:lncRNA